UACGUAGGGUCCGAGCGUUGUCCGGAUUUAUUGGGCGUAAAGAGCUCGUAGGCGGUUUGUCGCGUCUGCUGUGAAAUCCCGAGGCUCAACCUCGGGUCUGCAGUGGGUACGGGCAGACUAGAGUGCGGUAGGGGAGAUUGGAAUUCCUGGUGUAGCGGUGGAAUGCGCAGAUAUCAGGAGGAACACCAAUGGCGAAGGCAGAUCUCUGGGCCGUAACUGACGCUGAGGAGCGAAAGCUAGGGGAGCGAACAGG
rnacentral:rRNA from 1 species